GGCGAACGCUGGCGGCGUGCUUAACACAUGCAAGUCGAACGGAAAGGCCCUGCUUUUGUGGGGUGCUCGAGUGGCGAACGGGUGAGUAACACGUGUGUAACCUGCCCUUGACUUUGGGAUAACUUCAGGAAACUGGGGCUAAUACCGGAUAGGAGCUCCUGCUGCAUGGUGGGGGUUGGAAAGUUUCGGCGGUUGGGGAUGGACUCGCGGCUUAUCAGCUUGUUGGUGGGGUAGUGGCUUACCAAGGCUUUGACGGGUAGCCGGCCUGAGAGGGUGACCGGCCACAUUGGGACUGAGAUACGGCCCAGACUCCUACGGGAGGCAGCAGUGGGGAAUAUUGCACAAUGGGCGGAAGCCUGAUGCAGCAACGCCGCGUGCGGGAUGACGGCCUUCGGGUUGUAAACCGCUUUCGCCUGUGACGAAGCGUGAGUGACGGUAAUGGGUAAAGAAGCACCGGCUAACUACGUG
rnacentral:rRNA from 1 species